rnacentral:rRNA from 1 species
UACGUAGGGUGCGAGCGUUAAUCGGAAUUACUGGGCGUAAAGCGUGCGUAGGCGGCUAUGUAAGACAGAUGUGAAAUCCCUGGGCUUAACCUAGGAACUGCAUUUGUGACUGCAUUGCUAGAGUGUGGUAGAGGGAGAUGGAAUUCCGCAUGUAGCAGUGAAAUGCGUAGAGAUGUGGAGGAACACCGAUGGCGAAGGCAGCCCCCUGGGUCGACACUGACGCUCAUGCACGAAAAGCGUGGGGGAGCAAACAGG